UAUGAACGCUGGCGGCGUGCCUAAUACAUGCAAGUCGAGCGAACGGACGAGAAGCUUGCUUCUCUGAUGUUAGCGGCGGACGGGUGAGUAACACGUGGAUAACCUACCUAUAAGACUGGGAUAACUUCGGGAAACCGGAGCUAAUACCGGAUAAUAUUUUGAACCGCAUGGUUCAAAAGUGUAAGACGGUCUUGCUGUCACUGAUAGAUGGAUCCGCGCUGCAUUAGCUAGUUGGUAAGGUAACGGCUUACCAAGGCAACGAUGCAUAGCCGACCUGAGAGGGUGAUCGGCCACACUGUCACUGAGACACGGUCCAGACUCCUACGGGAGGCAGCAGUAGGGAAUCUUCCGCAAUGGGCGAAAGCCUGACGGAGCAACGCCGCGUGAGUGAUGAAGGUCUUCGGAUCGUAAAACUCUGUUAUUAGGGAAGAACAUAUGUGUAAGUAACUGUGCUCAUCUUGACGGUACCUAAUCAGAAAGCCACGGCUAACUACGUG
rnacentral:rRNA from 1 species